rnacentral:rRNA from 1 species
UGGGGAAUAUUGGACAAUUGGCGCAAGCCUGAUCCAGCCAUGCCGCGUGGGUGAAGAAGGCCCUAGGGUUGUAAACCCCUUUCAGCGGGGAAGAUAAUGACGGUACCCGCAGAAGAAGCCCCGGCUAACUCCGUGCCAGCAGCCGCGGUAAUACGGAGGGGGCUAGCGUUGUUCGGAAUUACUGGGCGUAAAGCGCGCGUAGGCGGACUUUCAAGUCAGGGGUGAAAUCCCGAGGCUCAACCUCGGAACUGCCUCCGAUACUGGCGAUCUUGAGUCCGGGAGAGGUGAGUGGAACUCCGAGUGUAGAGGUGAAAUUCGUAGAUAUUCGGAAGAACACCAGUGGCGAAGGCGGCUCACUGGCCCGGUACUGACGCUGAGAUGCGAAAGCGUGGGGAGCAAACAGGAUUAGAUACCCCGGUAGUCC